UGCUAACAACAGGAAUUCUGCACCAACCAAAGUUUGGAAGUACAUUAUCAAAGACAUGGUCGUUACAUACUUUCCAAAUGUAUCAAUGCACCAAGUCUCAAUACAGCAAUUUCCAUGGCAAAUAGUUUAUUUAUCUAUUCUUUAACCAUCUUAUCCCUCCAAUAAUUUGGUUGCCUUUUCUCCAUUAGCAUUGCAAGGCAAAUGAAAAAUCCAAGAAAAAUACGGCCAUAUUCCUUACAUGAGCACUUGAGCCGGCAGAAGAUUUCCAACGCAAAUUGAGAUGGAUUAGAAACUUGAGAGGUGCCCAUCAGCUGUUUGCAAUCUUUCAGUGCGGGAAAAAGUGCAGGUAUUCACUCCACUUGUUUGACCAAGAGAGCCCUCAACUUUUAAUAUGCCCGCCAAAAGACUAAGGCAUGCCAUGGAAUCAGGAGACCUGCUGAUUAGUACCAGUAGAUGUCAAUAAGGAUGCUCGUAGUUACACAAAAUACUCCCAAUAUGCAAUCCCAAUACAAAAUAUAGCAAUAGAUGUAUUACUAUUCCCAACAAAAAGAUAGAUCACAUGACGUCAUGCAUGGGAGGAAGAAAGACAAAUGCAUCAAGUAGCAGAACAGGGCAAGAACACAACCCACUUUUUAUUUUUUGCAUUUAUUCUCAGCAUAGAAGAACUAUACAAUUAGAACAAAAAAUACUGCCAUGAGACGGUACAUAAAAGAUUCCUUGCCACCGGACCACAAAUGAAAGGCAACAAUAUUGCAAGUGAGAGUAAUAAACAUGGUCACAAAGCUGAUGGCACCUAGAUUGGUAAUGGCCUAUUUGCAAAGGAGAACGCCCUCAAUGUCGUGGUUCUCUAAAGUAUUUCAUGAAGAUUUGCACGCUACUUACAAUAAGAAGGGAACAUUACUUGGAGAUGCCAAAUCAUUUUAGAGCAAACGAAAGAUGAAGAUUUGAGCACCCACUUCACUACUCCUUUGGCAAAUUUUGGGUCAUUCCCAUAAUCAAAUUGAGAAGAAAAAACACAAUAAUCCAAUGAGUCUACACCACCAACAAAAAUGAAAUUGUGUACAUUUUGAUACAAAUGUACAUAUGAAUAUAUCAGCAAAGUUCAACAAAUUGAUAUACUGAACCCUUUAUAACUGGUGAUGCACAAAUAUUGAACCAUACAUAACCGGCGAUUAUUUGCUAAAUUUAGGUGGCAAUGGUUACCAUGAAGGUCAUGAUAAUGGGAAUGAACAAAGCAUUGUAAAUGGAAAAUCAGAAUAUGAUGUGGAAUCCCAUACCUUCAAAAGAAUUCUACAACGCUGCAAAAGUAAAACAGUGUUGGAACUAUGAAGUUUCCUUAGAGGAAAACAAAACUUAUAUUACCAUCAUAGUGCAGCCAUGAAGUAUUUUCAAGCAUAAAGCAACCAUUGGUUGAGAAUGAUAUACCCACGCAUGGUGUUUAAUGACAGAACAUUAAUGCACUUUUAGUAUGCAAUCCAUAUCUUCAUCUGCAUCCUGUACAGUGCCAAAACAGGAGUGGUGUUACAUUAACUUCACUGAUUUAUAUCAUUGAUAUCUCAAAUUAAAGUUGUCAUGUGGCCAAAGCCCCCAGCCAACUUCAUGAAAAAGAGAACGGAUCUGUGACAACACUAAAAUAAUCAUACUGGUAUGCAUCAGUAAUCCUAUAUGAUAAAACACAUGUGCUUUUGAAAUCAAUAUAAUGCAAGAGGGAACGUUGGAUUAAACUUUGCAUGACCUGGCAAGCAUGACACAAUUUUGGAGCAAUGGUGCAGACACCAACCUGAUGUUGAAGACUAUGGGAGCGAUGCCGCUCCACUGUCUGAAGGGGAAUUUUUGCGGGAGCACGUGAAGUCGCCGAGAGGCGGCGUCGUUGUCGCUUUCUGGGCAGCAAGGAGGUGGUGGAGGUCGUCCUUCAGGAGGCAGAGUCGUUGACUCCGGGCGCCUCAAGUCUGCAGCGUAGUGGUCCUGCACCGUAUCUCCCUCUUCCCUAACUCCGCCGAACCCCAC
rnacentral:lncRNA from 1 species